GUUGCCCUAACUAUUCGACAGCCUCUAUUCUUCCUCUUCGUUCUACACCAACUCCUCGCUCUAUUCCUCCUCUUCAUCCUCUUGGUUCUUCGAAUCCAAGCAGAACUCGACGCCUCGUCCUCCAUCUUUUUCGAGUCAGGCCAGCUCUUGUACGUGCUCGAAGACAGUGAACAGCAUCGGUUCCUCAAGGCCGCCGUUUCGGAGAAACUUUGAGCUUUUGAGUCAUAGGAAUUGUGUUUCAUCUACCAAGUUAUUCUUCAUUCAGCUGGGCAAAGUUCGAAGCUUCCAUGACCGUGUAACUGGAGCUUUCUAGGCAUUCUUUAUCUCUGCUUUACUUUUCGGAGAUUAUAAUCAGAGGCAAUAGAUCUUUUUCUAGUCUUGGAAGACGGAUAUUCGAUGUUUAUAUUCAGGAGAAGUUAGUGUUGAACGAUUUCGACAUUGAAAAGGAUGCCCAAGGGGUUGAUAAGCCAGUCAUCUGGGAAUUUAAAGCAGUUGAGGUUAAGAAGAAAACUUUAGAGAUCCGAUUUCAUUGGUCUGGGAAAGGGACAACAGCUUCCCCAAACAGAGGAGUAUAUGGUCCCCUUAUUUCAGCUCUCUCUAUAGAAUCAGAUCGUAAAAUACUAGAAACAGAAUUGUGGAAGAAGAUGGGAGCUUUUGAUAUGUGGAUUUGGAAUUCCUUUGUUUGUUUCUGCUCAUUAUCUCCUCUAAUUUCAGGUACCCAAAACAAUUUCUUUAGGAAUUCACUCACUCAUUGAUCUGAAAUUGUUUUUCUCU